rnacentral:rRNA from 1 species
AUGAAGGAGCUGAAAGCAACCAAGGUCAUUCAAUGCGAAGCGACGUACGUCGACCUGGGUGAUCUUGUCGAGUCCGUGAGGCCAAACGGUAAAAUGUCGACGAAUGUAGUUGCAUGCGGGAUUGAUUACAUCAACAAUCAUAUGGAUGUGUGUGCCGACAAAACAAUCAUGCAUUACAGUGUGACCUGCAAAAUAUGGGAUGGUGACUUCCACCACAAAAUCCCGAGAAAGAAUUUUGCACAACACGGUGAAUUCAAGCUCACACUGAAGAAAUAUCUCGUGUUCCCCAUGUUCCAGGAGUUUGCACCACAUGAUCAACACGACAAGUGUGGUCACCACUAUGCAAUCUGUCUUGACCUAAAGAACCAACUGAUGAGGACAUCAAUACCAUUGUUACACCCACGGCCCCUGCUGCUAUACAUAUUGGACCAAUUACUAGAGCUCGCGCAUGCCAGCUAA